AUACGAUGAUUAUUGCGAUGAGUGUUCACACAGAUUGAUGGUUUAUAACGUUAUAGAGAUAGAUGUGGGGCUAUAGCUCAGCUGGGAGAGCGCUUGCAUGGCAUGCAAGAGGUCGACGGUUCGAUCCCGUCUAGCUCCACCAUUACUAAAGGUUUUCAUUUAGAAUCUUUAAUAAUGGUUUCGAAAGAAAUCUGCUCUUUAACAAUUUGGAAAGCUGACAAAACAACAAUUUAUUGUUGUUUGUAAAGUUCUCAAUGUUUGUCUUUAAGACAAACACCAACAAACACAUUCAAGUGUUCUUGGGAAUGUCACUUAUAGUGACUAUUCGAAAUUGAGUCCGGCAAAAUCAACGCUAUCUCGCUCAUUCAAAUAAUGAGAUAGCAACUUUGGUUGUUUAACAAAGACCCUUUGGGGUUGUAU
rnacentral:misc_RNA from 1 species